AACGCGAAGAACCUUACCUGGGCUCGAAGUGCGGAGGACAGUGCCAGAAAUGGCAUCUCCCGAAAGGGUCUCCGUAUAGGUGCUGCAUGGCUGUCGUCAGCUCGUGCCGUGAGGUGUUUGGUUAAGUCCAGCAACGAGCGCAACCCUUAUCGUUAGUUGCCAGCGCGUUAUGGCGGGAACUCUAACGAGACUGCCUGGGUGAACCAGGAGGAAGGUGAGGAUGACGUCAAGUCCGCAUGGCCUUUAUGUCCAGGGCUACACACGUGCUACAAUGGUCGGUACAGAGGGCAGCGAAAUCGUGAGGUGGAGCAAAUCCCUAAAAGCCGAUCUCAGUUCGAAUUGUAGACUGCAACUCGUCUACAUGAAGUUGGAAUUGCUAGUAAUGGCGUGUCAGCAACAACGCCGUGAAUACGUUCCCGGGCCUUGUACACACCGAGUAUA
rnacentral:rRNA from 1 species